AGCGAACGCUGGCGGCAGGCCUAACACAUGCCAGUCGAACGAACCUUUCGGGGUUAGUGGCGGACGGGUGAGUAACACGUGGGAACGUGCCUUUAGGUUCGGAAUAACUCAGGGAAACUUGUGCUAAUACCGAAUGUGCCCUUCGGGUGAAAGAUUUAUCGCCUUUAGAGCGGCCCGCGUCUGAUUAGCUAGUUGGUUGAGGUAAUGGCUCACCAAGGCGACGAUCAGUAGCUGGUCUGAGAGGAUGAUCAGCCACAUUGGGACUGAGACACGGCCCAAACUCCUACGGGAGGCAGCAGUGGGGAAUCUUGCGCAAUGGGCGAAAGCCUGACGCAGCCAUGCCGCGUGAAUGAUGAAGGUCUUAGGAUUGUAAAAUUCUUUCACCGGAGACGAUAAUGACGGUACCCGGAGAAGAAGCCCCGGCUAACUUCGUG
rnacentral:rRNA from 1 species